GGAGAGGUGGCCGAGUGGCUGAAGGCGCUCGCCUGCUAAGUGAGUAAGGGGUGAUGAACUCCUUCGAGGGUUCGAAUCCCUCCCUCUCCG
rnacentral:tRNA from 1 species